GUACCCGAUGGGCGACGGGGCAAGCCGGUGAGAUUCCGGCGCUGACCCGCAACCGUGAGGCCGAUCGACGUCCUGUCGCGCGGCGAGCCGGAAAACCCGC
rnacentral:ncRNA from 2 species